GUGCUUGUUUUGGCAAUACACAUACUAAAAUUAGAAUAAAGAAAAGAUUAGCAUGUCCCUUAUAUAAGGAUAACACCCAAAUUCAUGAAGUGUUUCAUAUUUUU